GAAUCUUGCGCAAUGGCCGCAAGGCUGACGCAGCGACGCCGCGUGUGGGAGGACGCUCUUCGGGGUGUAAACCACUGUUGCCCGGGACGACCCUGGAGCUUUGGCUCCACUGACGGUACCGGGUGAGGAAGCACCGGCUAACCCCGUGCCAGCAGCCGCGGUAAUACGGAGGGUGCGAGCGUUGUCCGGAAUCACUGGGCGUAAAGGGCGCGUAGGUGGCGAUGCACGCGUGGGGUGAAAGUCCGGGGCUCAACCCCGGAUCGGCCUUGCGGACGGCAUUGCUCGAGCAUGGUAGAGGCAGGUGGAAUUCCGGGUGUAGCGGUGGAAUGCGUAGAGAUCCGGAAGAACACCGGUGGCGAAGGCGGCCUGCUGGGCCAUUGCUGACACUGAGGCGCGACAGCGUGGGGAGCAAAC
rnacentral:rRNA from 1 species